UGCCUCUCUCUCAGCCUCACCAUUGCCU
rnacentral:piRNA from 1 species